AUACGGAGGAUGCGAGCGUUAUCCGGAUUUAUUGGGUUUAAAGGGUGCGUAGGCUGUGCGUUAAGUCAGGGGUGAAAUGCCGUCGCUCAACGACGGAGCUGCCCUUGAUACUGGCGUGCUGGAGUACGGAUGCCGUUGGAGGAAUGAGUGGUGUAGCGGUGAAAUGCUUAGAUAUCACUCAGAACACCGAUUGCGAAGGCAUCUCACAAAGCCGCGAUUGACGCUGAGGCACGAAGGUGCGGGGAUCGAACAGGAUUAGAUACCCUGGUAGUCCGCACAGUAAACGAUGAUAACUCGCUGUCGGCGAUAGACAGUCGGUGGCCAAGCGAAAGCGAUAAGUUAUCCACCUGGGGAGUACGACCGCAAGGUUGAAACUCAAAUGAAUUGACGGGG
rnacentral:rRNA from 1 species